UGCGCCAUCCUUAUGUUUCUUUUUUUGCAGGGGGGCGGCCAUGGGGAGGGGAGGCAAAUCGGGGAGGCGACGCUGUGCUCCGGCGCCGGAUCAAGCUGCGGGGGAGGCGGGAGCCACGCGAGGAGACGAAGGAGGAGAAAAUGAAGAGGCAUGGAGGAGAGGUGGGCGAGCAGGAAGGGUUGGGGCGUCGCCCACGACGCCGAGCUUGACGGCGGCCUUGCGAUGGCGCAGUCGGCUAGGACCUGUCAGAUCUGGUCGGAUCCGGUGGGAAAUUACGCACAAGCGGUGGAUCUAGAAGGAAGACGGCCCGAGCUUGGAGCACAAUGGCUGGUGGACGCGCCAUGGCCCACGCCGGCGAGAGAUGAGAGAGAUGAGUGGGAGAGAAAAGAGAGGACGAGAAGGAGAUGAGAGGCCAGAGGGAGAGAGAAGGGAGUGGUGGUCACUUCAACGGGCUGCAGCGCGGCGCUGCCCCGGCCACUGAGCCCGCCCGACCGCCCCAUCGCCGAGUCGCCACCCCCACUGACUGCCCCGUGCUCGCCCUUAGACCAAGUCGAGCCAGCGAUCGUUGCCCACAUCACCGAACCUCGCUCCCCUUCUCCACCCCAGCAACCACGCACUCUUGGAGACGCCCAGGAGCUCGCCGGCAACACUCAGCAGACGUAGGAGAGCUGCGUGCAUGGUGCGUUUGAAUGUGCGGACGCGAGGCAGUGGAGGGCUCAGCAAGGUUUGGUUUCAGCUCCAAAUUGUUUUCAGAAUCAUGUUCUAAUCUAAUCUAAUGGUUGUUUCUGCCGCAGUUAACAAAUUAUAUUGCCUUGUACUACUUUCUAACAAAUUAGCUCCUACGAAGACUAAUGGAAGGAUCAUCAGACCAACGUAGUCAAAUUGGCCGCUUCAAAUUUUUGGCCUUGGAGCUGAUCAGCAGCACGCGAACAUGCAUCAGGAAGCCUACGGAUAGCUAGAGCAGGAAGGUGUGGAUCUUGAGCUGCAGCGACAACAACAACUUGGGCGUUGCCCGCAAAAAAACAACAGUUCAAGUGCUCAAUCAAGUGUAAGUUUGCAUCCAGUCAAUUAUUGCAGUUCUACAAUGACACAUUCAGAUUCUUGCAUCCAAAGUUAGAUAGGAACAGGAAAGAAUCUCCAACGCUUAUUUACAUGGGAAAGAACACUCUUGUAACUUUGGUUCAGAUCCUCAGUCUAUCCUAACCACCAUAGAUUGAGUUUGCAAGCAAAAGGAUCACACAAUAUGACAUUACAAGGAGCAGUCUUUUUCUUCACAUCUUUGUUUUAGCUUGCAUCCGACAGUUGUGUGCUCCAAGAUUAGGCAACCAAAACUGAACUUAUGACUACAUGAGUGCAUGAAGAACUGUUAAUAACUCUUAUUUGACUAAUCUUUGGAUUGACUGGAGACAAGAUUCUCUGGCUUUGGGGAUUGUCCUUUGGCGUUCUAUUGGGGUUCUAUUCAUGUGCACUAGGCACUUCUCAACACUUCAAUAAUUAUUCUAGAACCUCUUUAAAUUUGCAAUGCUCAUCAGAUUGUACAGGUUUUGCAGUCAACUAUUCAGAUUAUUGACUAGGGACGAUAUUUUCAGUCCUACUGAGUCUGCAAAGGAUGCGCCAAGCCAAGAUUAAUUAUGGUUUUUGUAAAUUGCAUCGGUUUACUUAUGUACCUGCUCCUUAGAUGAUUGUGAAUUUGUGAUUCAGUCGUGGAAAUUUGGGUGCUUUCCUUGAGUGUCCUGAAAAAUGGUUCAACGCGUGUUUGCUAGAAACUAUAGAUUAGCAAGACUAACUAGUGUUGAGCAUGUCAAUCUAUGUGUGGGCACGAGUGAAAAUGUAAAUCAUGUUAGAGAUGAGUUUCUGGAAAAAAGUCCCGGAGACGCGCUGCUGCUGCUCUUGAUAGCCAAAGUGGAGGCUGUAGUUCUAAGACUUCAAGGAGGAAAGGAAUACAUGGUUGCUUCUUGGAAAGAUAAAAAUUGUUAUUGGUCUCUCAAUGCCUAAGCUGUUGUGGAUUAAUUUGAUUUGAUUUGGAUUGUACUCCAAGAGUCCACAAGAUGUCAUUUCCGAAUGUGGUACUAAUUUCAGAACAUAGCACCAUUUUCUAAAAAUAAGGCUGGGCAACAUGAGCCAACCACAUGGAUGCUUCAAGAGGAAUAAACUCACUGUAGCUACCGAAUUGGUAUUAGUAAGUUGCUGUUCCAACUUCCUAGAGAACCACAGGGGUGUUUUUUUACUAUUUUUGGUUGCAGCACAUGGCGACAAUGACGAGCACUUGUAUUUUUAAGUGUUGCACCACUUUUUUGUUGACCUUUGAUUCAUGUAUAUUGAUAUGUCUCCGACGUAUCUACUUUUCCAAACACUUUUAUCCUUAUUUUGGACUCUAACUUGCAUGAUUUGAUUGAAACUAACCCGGACUGACGUUGUUUUCAGCAGAAUUACCAUAGCGUUAUUUAU